rnacentral:rRNA from 1 species
AGCGAACGCUGGCGGUAGGCCUAACACAUGCAAGUCGAACGGCAACACAGUAAGAGCGUGCUCUUCCGGGGGGCGAGUGGCGGACGGGUGAGGUGUAUAUCGUAAUCUACUCUUUCGGGUGAGUUAACGUAGGGGAAGCUACUCUCGUACCGCAUCCGCCCUACGGGGGAAAGCGGGGGAUCUUCGGGCCUUGCGCGAUUGGAUGAGCCGAUGUCGGAUUAGCUAGUUGGCGGGGUAAUGGCCCACCAAGGCGGCGAUCCGUGGCUGGUCUGAGAGGAUGGUCAGCCACACUGGAACGGAGACACGGUCCAGGGUCCUACGAGAGGCAGCAGUGGGGAAUGUUAGACAAUGGGCGCAAGCCUGAUCCAGUCAUACCGCGUGGGUGAAGAAGGCCUUCGGGUUGUAAAGACCUUUUGUUGGGAAAGAACAGCAGCAGGUUAAUACCCAGCUGUUCUGACGGUACCCAAAGAAUAAGCACCGGCUAACUUCGUG